rnacentral:rRNA from 1 species
GUGGAGCGGUGAAAUGCGUAGAUAUUGGAAAGACCACCAAUGGCGAAGGCACUCUACUGGGCCAUUACUGACACUGAGAGACGAAAGCUAGGGGAGCAAAUGGGAUUAGAUACCCCAGUAGUCCUAGCCGUAAAUGAAAAAAAGUUGAA